rnacentral:rRNA from 1 species
UACGUAGGCAGCAAGCGUUGUUCGGAGUUACUGGGCGUAAAGGGUGCGUAGGCGGUCGGGUAAGUCUGAUGUGAAAUCUCACAGCUUAACUGUGAAACUGCAUUGGAUACUAUCCGGCUAGAGGAAUGGAGGGGAGACUGGAAUACUUGGUGUAGCAGUGAAAUGCGUAGAUAUCAAGUGGAACACCAAUGGCGAAGGCGAGUCUCUGGACAUUUCCUGACGCUGAGGCACGAAAGCCAGGGGAGCAAACGGG